GGGCCCGCGUACCAUUAGCUUGUUGGUAGGGUAAUGGCCUACCAAGGCGACGAUGGUUAGCUGGUCUGAGAGGAUGAUCAGCCACACUGGAACUGAAACACGGUCCAGACUCCUACGGGAGGCAGCAGUGAGGAAUUUUGCGCAAUGGGGGAAACCCUGACGCAGCAACGCCGCGUGGGUGAAGAAGGCCUUCGGGUUGUAAAGCCCUUUUCCGGGGGAAAUGAUGGUACCCCGGGAAUAAGCCUCGGCUAACUACGUGCCAGCAGCCGCGGUAAGACGUAGGAGGCGAGCGUUAUCCGGAUUUACUGGGCGUAAAGAGCGCUAAGGCGGCGAGGGAAGUCAGAUGUGAAAUCUCCCGGCUCAACCGGGAGGGGAGGGUUGAUACUCCCCCGCUUGAGGGGGGCAGAGGGAGGUGGAACUCCCGGAGUAGUGGUGAAAUGCGUAGAU
rnacentral:rRNA from 1 species